CACGUAGGCACCAAGCGUUGUCCGGAUUUAUUGGGCGUAAAGAGCUCGUAGGCGGUUGAGUAAGUCGGGUGUGAAAACUCUGGGCUUAACCCAGAGCCGCCACCCGAUACUGCUCUGACUUGAGUUCGGUAGGGGAGCAGGGAAUUCCUAGUGUAGCGGUGAAAUGCGCAGAUAUCAGGAGGAACACCGGUGGCGAAGGCGGGUCUCUGGGCCGAUACUGACGCUGAGGAGCGAAAGCGUGGGGAGCGAACAGG
rnacentral:rRNA from 1 species